rnacentral:snRNA from 1 species
AUUUAGCCAAAUAUAUGCUAAAGUUGGAACAAUAAAAAGAAGAUUAACUUGGGCCCUGAGGAAUAAUGACACACAAAUUUGCAAACUGUUCAU